GACAGGGGUCUCGAGCGUUAAUCGGAAUUACUGGGCGUAAAGGGCUCGUAGGCGGCCAACUAAGUCGGACGUGAAAUCCCCAGGCUCAACCUGGGAACUGCGUCUGAUACUGGAUGGCUUGAAUCCGGGAGAGGGAUGCAGAAUUCCAGGUGUAGCGGUGAAAUGCGUAGAUAUCUGGAGGAAUACCGGUGGCGAAGGCGGCAUCCUGGACCGGCAUUGACGCUGAGGAGCGAAAGCCAGGGGAGCAAACGGG
rnacentral:rRNA from 1 species